UACGUAGGGUGCAAGCGUUGUCCGGAAUUAUUGGGCGUAAAGAGCUCGUAGGCGGUCUGUUGCGUCGGCUGUGAAAACCCCGGGGGCUCAACUCCGGGCCUGCAGCCGAUACGGGCAGACUAGAGUUCGGCAGGGGAGACUGGAAUUCCUGGUGUAGCGGUGAAAUGCGCAGAUAUCGAGAGGAACACCUGCGGCGAAGGCGGGUGCUGGGCGUGACACUGACGCUGAUGCGCGAAGCCAGGGGAGCGAACGGG
rnacentral:rRNA from 1 species